UACGUAGGGUGCAAGCGUUAAUCGGAAUUACUGGGCGUAAAGCGUGCGCAGGCGGCUUUGCAAGACAGAUGUGAAAUCCCUGGGCUUAACCUAGGAACUGCAUUUGUGACUGCAUUGCUAGAGUGUGGUAGAGGGAGAUGGAAUUCCGCGUGUAGCAGUGAAAUGCGUAGAUAUGCGGAGGAACACCAAUGGCGAAGGCAAUCUCCUGGACCUGCACUGACGCUCAUGCACGAAAGCGUGGGGAGCAAACAG
rnacentral:rRNA from 1 species